UGUUGUGUUUAUUUGAUUGUUAUAAUAAUUUCAUUGCUAUAAAAGAUAACUAUAAGUUUUGUUUUUGCAUUUUAAUUACAUAUUGGUGUUACUAACAUUAUGGAUCUUUAUAGAUUUUGUUCUUGAAAUGGAAGAAGAGGAACGAAGGCAACAAUUACGGCUAGAAAGAAGGAGAUUACGAGACUCUAUUAAUGUUUUUGAACUACCUGAAAAGGAGUUUAGGAAAUGUUUCCGCCUCAGCAAAGAUUUAGUGUGAAACUUAAUUGCAGAACUAACACCACACAUGGAUUCAGGUCUGAGAAACACUAAACUCUCAAUACCCAAUAGAAUCUUUACUGCAUUAAAAUUUUUUGCGCAAGGCUCCUACCAACGAAGUGAAGGAAAUGAAGCCAAGGUGUCGGAGGCUCAACAAACUGUUAGUAGAACACUGUUCGAAGUGUGUAAUGCAGUGAUAAAGUUUCCUAGAACAGCUGCCGAAAAAGAAACAAAGAAAAUUGACUUUAUGGAAAACUUCCAUUUCCCUGGAACCAUAUGCUGUAUAGACUGCACUCAUGUUGCCAUUUUGGAGCCAGCUGCAGAUGAGCAUCUAUACUUUAGCUGAAAAGGACCAUUCCAAAAAUGCAAAUAAUAUGCGAUUCAAAUUUGGUAAUACUACAUGUGAAUGCGAACUACGGAGGUGCAACCCACGAUGCAUUUAUAUGGAGAAACUCUGCUAUUAAAAAUCACCUUGUGCAGAAUUAUGAAAGAGGAGAGAGAAACAGCUGGUUGAUUGGUGAUAGUGGAUACCCUCAGGAACCGUGGCUAAUGACCCCCAAAGGGGAGUACCCCGUGAAUCACCAGAAGGGAGGUACACGGCCGCAUUGACACAAGCUAGGAAUUGUGUUGAAAGAUGUAUAGGCGUUUUAAAAAUGCGCUUUCGCUGCAUCCUAAAGGAAAGGGUUCUAAGAUAUUACCCACAUAAAGUAGGACAGAUUGUAAAUGCAGUUUGUGUUCUACACAAUAUGUGCAUAAGAGGGAACAUCGACCUUGAAGAAGACCCAGAAAUAGAGCCAGGUGAAGAAGACGAAGACUACCGGGUGAUCGGUAGCGAGCGGCCAUAUCUCAUAAGAUAUUGGUCAUAUAGAUUUGAGAAAAAAAAAAUCAUGAUAAAAGUCGCCAAGAGAAAUUGCUGGAAAUUAUUUUCGAGUUUGUCAAACGUCCGCUAGAGGGCGUAACAGCCAACACCAAGUAGAAAAAUGGGAUUUUUAUAGAAUUUUGUCUAAUGAAAGUAUAUCGGUAAUAUCAUUCUCAUAUUUACUGACCAUUUCCCUAAAUUUUUUGUCUAAAACAUUUUAUUCUAUCUAUCAAAAUAAAGCGGUGGGGCAAG